rnacentral:rRNA from 1 species
GACGAACGCUGGCGGCGUGCUUAACACAUGCAAGUCGAACGAAGUGGCGAACGGGUGAGUAACGCGUAAUCAACCUGCCCUUCAGAGGGGGACAACAGUUGGAAACGACUGCUAAUACCGCAUACUGAAGGAGGGGAUUGCGUCUGAUUAGCUAGUUGGAGGGUUAACGGCCAACCAAGGCGAUGAUCGGUAGCCGGUCUGAGAGGAUGAACGGCGACAUUGGGCCUGGGACACGGCCCAGACCCUUACGGGAGGCAGAAGGUGGGAAUCUUCCGGAAUGGACGAAAGUCUGACGGAGCAACGCCGCGGGAGUGAUGACGGCCUUCGGGUUGUAAAGCUCUGUUAAGCGGGACGCGGUACCGGAAUAGAAAGCCACGGCUAACUACGUGCCAGCAGCCGCGGUAAUUC